rnacentral:rRNA from 1 species
UACGUAGGGGGCAAGCGUUGUCCGGAUUUAUUGGGCGUAAAGAGCGUGUAGGCGGCCAUACAGGUCCGUUGUGAAAACUGGAGGCUUAACCUCCAGACGUCGAUGGAAACCGUAUGGCUAGAGUCCGGAAGAGGAGAGUGGAAUUCCUGGUGUAGCGGUGAAAUGCGCAGAUAUCAGGAAGAACACCCGUGGCGAAGGCGGCUUGCUGGGCCGGACCUGACGCUGAGACGCGAAGGCGUGGGGAGCGAACGGG